rnacentral:rRNA from 1 species
GUGUCAGCAGCCGCGGUAAUACGUAGGGGGCGAGCGUUGUCCGGAAUUACUGGGUGUAAAGGGUGCGUAGGCGGGUAAUUAAGUCAGAUGUGAAAACCACAGGCUCAACUUGUGGACUGCAUUUGAAACUGAAUAUCUUGAGUGUGGGAGAGGUAAGUGGAAUUCCUAGUGUAGCGGUGAAAUGCGUAGAUAUUAGGAGGAACACCAGUGGCGAAGGCGACUUACUGGACCAUAACUGACGCUGAGGCACGAAAGCGUGGGGAGCAAACAGGAUUAGAUACCCUGGUAGUCCACGCUGUAAACGAUGAAUACUAGGUGUAGGGGGUAUCGACUCCCUCUGUGCCGCAGUUAACACAAUAAGUAUUCCACCUGGGGAGUACGGCCGCAAGGUUGAA